rnacentral:rRNA from 1 species
CCAAGCAAAACGUACUUAAAGUUUGGCCCCCCGAAACUAAGCGAGCUACUUUAAAACAGCCCCCGGGCUAACCCGUCUCUGUAGCAAAAGAGUGGGAAGAUUUCAAAGUAGAGGUGACAGACCUACCGAGCUUAGAGAUAGCUGGUUAUUCAGGAAAAGGAUUUUAGUCCGCCUUUAAGUUUUAUCACUACUACUAAAUACCAAAUAAACUUAAAAGCCAUUCAAAUAAGGUACAGCCUAUUUGAAUAAGGAAACAGCCUGCAAUACAGGGUAAUGAUUUUUACACGUGACUAAGUCGGCCUAAAAGCAGCCAACUUCUAAAUAGCGUCCAAGCCUCAUCACACCUAUCAUUAAUUUCCCCAUUUAUACGCAACCCUCAAUCACUACUGAAUGACUCCAUACCUUAUGGAGGACACCAUGCUAGAACUAGUAACAAGAAGAUGACCCUUCUCCAAAAUGCAAACGUAAGCCAAAAUGAACACUCACCGGCACUUACCGCCACCUAAGCCCACAGUAUUAACUAACAAGAAAACUUUACCGCAUCAGGCGUUAACCUUACACCAGGGCAUUUCCGUGAAAGAUUAAAAAGGGGGGAAGGAACUCGGC